AUGACUCCAACCGCGGAGGGUGGGUGGGUGGGAAUCGCAAAGGCGAUAAUGGUGGGGAAGGUGGGGCAGGAGCCGAUACAGAAGCGGCUGCGGAGAGGGAGAACGGUCGUACUGUUCUCGCUCGGCAGUCGGCACCGGCGGCAUCCGCAACAACCGCCGCCCGCUGGACUGCGAGGAGCCGCACCAGUACGCUGAACGCUGCUCCGUGCAGUGGCACCGCGUCUGCAUCUACCCGGACCGGCUCGGCAGGCCGGCAGCCUCGCGCUCAAGCACGUCAAGACUUGUUCUAUUCUUUAUCUGGAAGGAAAUCUUGAGACGAAAGUGUUUUCUCUAUAACUAGACUGGUUCGGCGCAUAAGAGAAAUAGCUGUGCGCUCAAAUGGUAUGUUUAUUGCACCAUUGAUUUUGACUUGUGGCAAAUUUGCUUGAUUGAUACAUGUUAGAAUGCAAUUCCAAUAGAUAUCAAAAAUUAAAAAUUUGAUAAAAUGUUUGAUUAUGCUUUGGAAAUUAUACAAAAUGAAAAGAUCAAUCUAUAUGUAAAUCAUUGAUAUCCUGGGUACUUAAUCAACAACAAAAGUCAUUGCCCCAGAUCCCAAAUUUCAUAAUUUUAUCAGUUGGCCAUUUUUGUUUUUGAUCCUUGCACACAAUGACAGUACCUCUGAGGUAUUGUUUCACUUUCACCCUGAAUUUACAUGAUAAAUCCUAAAUGAAAUUAUAAAUGCAGCUGUCAAUUUGUUUUACCUAUAUAAAUGAUGCAAGAUUCAAGUGCAGGAGCUGAAAAUUUAUCUUUCAGGGACCAAUAAGAAUACAAACUUAACAGCUAGGUAUAAUCAUAAGAUUAUAUAUCGUGUUUCAUUUUGUUAUCAUUAAACUAAUCCACAUGGUGUUCAAGUGAUUACACAAGUGCAUAGAUUGUUUUAAAAGUUGGGUUCGAUAGAUAUGUAGAAUUCCAUGUCACCAUCGCUGAAGCCACGCAGGAAAGCCUCAUGUUUGCACCUAGGCCUUCAGCGGCUGUAGCGACUGCAUGUUGCGGAUGGUAUCCUUCCAUUACGAUGAGGAUGUCUUCCAGAUCAGCUAUCAUGGUGGUUCCUUGUUGUGCCCAUGGGCAGCACACCAACUGUUUGAUGAAAUGCAUGGUCGAGGCAAAUACUUCAUUUCUUCAUAUUGUUCAACUGCAACUGAUUUGGAAGUCCACAGAUAACGAGAUGUGACAGAUGGGCCAUUAAGAACUCUCUAAGUCCGUUCUAUCAAAUGUAAAGAAAACAGGUAGCUCUACUAUGUUUAUGGUCUUUCCUAUUGAAGUAGGAAUUCAUAGGUGUGUAGCAGUGCUCAGCGAUUGCACGAGUGAAGGGGAUGCAAAAGAUGGUGUCUCCACCUCUGACUCCAUUCAUGAGACCAAAAAACAAGCGUGUACAAACGAUGGAAAGAGAAUAAACUAUGUCAAACGAUCAAGAUUGCAUCGCUCAUCUUUUGCCACAAACACUGCAAGAGAGAUUGAUUUACAUAUAGUGAAUGAAUCAAUUCUAUAGUCUCAAAGAUUUAUCUCUUGGUUUUCUUUAGAUGGGAUGCGUCUCAGAUUAAGUUUUAUGUAAAUUUUAAGUUGCCAAAAUAAACAACUAAAAUAAAUCUUUAUGCUGCCACGCCAAAGGAUUCACCUGGAUGCUACA